rnacentral:rRNA from 1 species
AUUGAACGCUGGCGGCAUGCUUUACACAUGCAAGUCGAACGGGGUUGGAGCUUGCUCCAAUCUAGUGGCGAACAGGUGAGUAAUAUAUCGGAACGUACCCGGCAGUGGGGGAUAACGAGUCGAAAGAUUCGCUAAUGCCGCAUAUGCCCCGAGGGGGAAAGUGGGGGACCGCAAGGCCUCACGCUGUCGGAGCGGCCGAUAUCAGAUUAGCUAGUUGGUGGGGUAAAGGCCCACGAAGGCGACGAUCUGUAGCUGGUCUGAGAGGGUGAUCAGCCACACUGGGACUGAGACACGGCCCAGACUCUUACGGGAGGCAGCAGUGGGGAAUUUUGGACAAUGGGCGCAAGCCUGAUCCAGCCAUGCCGCGUGAGUGAAGAAGGCCUUCGGGUUGUAAAGCUCUUUCGGACAGAAAGAAAUUGCCAUCUCUAAUAAAGGUGGCGGAUGACGGUACUGUAAGAAGAAGCACCGGCUAACUACGUGCCAGCCGCCGCGGUAACAC